rnacentral:snRNA from 1 species
AUACUUACCUGGAUGGGGUCCAUGGGUAAUGAAGAAGACUCAUGACCUAGGAUAGUAACCUCCAUUGCACCUAGGAGGGGGGGCAUGCGUUUGCACGACCCUCUCAUUUCUAGUUUAAACCAUUUAUGAUUUA